UACGUAGGGCGCAAGCGUGUCCGGAAUUAUUGGGCGUAAAGAGCUCGUAGGCGGUCUGUCGCGUCGGCUGUGAAACCCGAGGCUCAACCUCGGGCCUGCAGUCGAUACGGGCAGACUAGAGUGCUGUAGGGGAGACUGGAAUUCCUGGUGUAGCGGUGAAAUGCGCAGAUAUCAGGAGGAACACCGGUGGCGAAGGCGGGUCUCUGGGCAGUAACUGACGCUGGAGGAGCGAAAGCGUGGGGAGCGAACGGAUAGAAACCCU
rnacentral:rRNA from 1 species